AAGUCGUAACAAGGUUUCCGUAGGUGAACCUGCGGAAGGAUCAUUAACACUAAUUAAAAAAAGUAAGAACUAUGAGGAUUUUCUUGCAGACUUUAUCGUUUGCAAAAGCUUCCUUUUGCUCUUAUUCCAAAUCUACCCAAAAUGAUUGAAAGUGCUGGUUGAUUUUUUUGUUUCUUCAAACACAAAAAUCACUCAUUUCUUUUAUUUAUCAUAUCAACAACCCCAAAUCUUUUUUUGCUAAUGCAAAUGACAAUUACUAAAAACAAAAAUAACUACUUUAACGUAACCAAACAACUCUUAGCAACGGAUAUCUUGGCUCUC
rnacentral:misc_RNA from 1 species